rnacentral:tRNA from 2 species
GUUCCGUUAGACAAAUUGGUAUAGUCACCACACUUUCAAUGUGGAUUUCUGAGGGUUCAAGUCCCUCACGGAACG